UUGCUUCAGCAGCACAUAUACUAAAAUUGGAAUGAUACAGAGACAAUUAGCAUGGCUCCUGCACAAGGAUGGGACACAAAUUCACGAAGUGUUACAUAUUUUU
ensembl:snRNA U6 U6 spliceosomal RNA